GGCAGUCGAACGCCCUAGCAAUAGGGAGUGGCGCACGGGUGAGUAACGCGUGGGAAUGUACCAUUUAGUGGGGGAUAACUUCGGGAAACUGAAGCUAAUACCGCAUACGCCCGAGAGGGGAAAGAUUUAUCGCUAAAUGAUCAGCCCGCGUGAGAUUAGAUAGUUGGUGGGGUAAUGGCCUACCAAGCCUACGAUCUCUAGCUGGUCUGAGAGGAUGAUCAGCCACACUGGAACUGAGACACGGUCCAGACUCCUACGGGAGGCAGCAGUGGGGAAUAUUGGGCAAUGGACGAAAGUCUGACCCAGCCAUGCCGCGUGAAUGAUGAAGGCUUUAGGGUUGUAAAGUUCUUUCGCCGAUGAAGAUAAUGACGGUAGUCGGAGAAGAAGCCCCGGCUAACUUCGUGCCAGCAGCCGCGGUAAUACGAAGGGGGCUAGCGUUGUUCGGAAUUACUGGGCGUAAAGCGAGCGUAGGUUGCUCGACAAGUCAGUGGUGAAAGCCCAGAGCUCAACUCUGGAACUGCCAUUGAAACUGUCGAGCUGGAAUCUCAGAGGGGGUAGCGGAAUUCCAAAUGUAGGGGUGAAAUCCGUAGAUAUUUGGAGGAACACCGGUGGCGAAGGCGGCUACCUGGAUGAGUAUUGACACUGAGGCUCGAAAGCGUGNGGAUCAAACAGGAUUUGAUACCCUGGUAGUCCACGCUGUAAACGAUGGAUGCUAGUUGUUGGGGGGGUUCCCUCU
rnacentral:rRNA from 1 species